rnacentral:rRNA from 1 species
UACAGAGGUCUCAAGCGUUGUUCGGAUUCAUUGGGCGUAAAGGGCGCGUAGGCGGCCUGAUAAGUCGGGGGUGAAAUCCUGCGGCUUAACCGCAGGGCUGCCUUCUAAACUGUCGGGCUAGAGCACGGUAGAGGCAGAUGGAAUUCCCGGUGUAGCGGUGGAAUGCGUAGAGAUCGGGAAGAACAUCAGUGGCGAAGGCGGUCUGCUGGGCCGUUGCUGACGCUGAGGCGCGACAGCGUGGGGAGCAAACAGG